ACCAGAGCACCUGGAGGAAACCUACGCAGUCAGUGUGCGAACUCCUGACGGAGAGCAGUGGAACUGAACCCGCGUCUCAGACCUUGUAUUAGCUUUACAUUGGCUGCUACGCCCCUGUGAAAUCACUGAACAGAUUUAAGAUGCCAUGAACUAUCAGUCACCCAGGAAAAGGCAAAAAGGGGACGCAAAGCGGCAAACAAUUGCAAAAGCAGAUUAAAGAAGAAGCUAAGUCAGUGGAUCUAGGUUUAUAAAUGUACUGAAAAGUAGUGGGUACAGCCAAAUCCAUCACAGGUAAAGCACCCCCCCCCCAACACUGAACACAUCUACAAGGAGCACUGUCGCAGGAAAGCAGCAUCCAUCAUCAAGGAACCCCACUGUCCAGGCCUUGCUCUCUUCUCACUGCCUCCAUCAGGAAGGAGGUACAGAAGCCUCAGGACUCUCACCAUCAGCUUCAGGAACAGUUAAUACCCCUCAAUCAUCAGGCUUCUGAAUCAGAGGGGAUAACUUAACUCAACUUCAUUCACCCUAACACUGAACUGUUCCCACAGCCUAUGGACUCACUUUCAAGGACUCUUCAUCUCAAGUUCUCGAUAUUUAUUACUUCAAAGGAAGGGGAGUCCAUUUCAGCGUACUUGACUGAACUGAAGAGAUUGACUGAACAAUGUCACCAGCAUUCCACCAGCAUUUUUUGUGUUGCUUUAUGUUUUAUAUAAUUUCUUUGGUUAAUUGUUGGAUGUUGUUUUUGUGGCAACACACGACAGCAAAUUUUUAGUACAUGUAAAUGUGUUUGGUAAAUAGCGUUGAUCCUAUCAAUCUACUUGCUACCCUUGAGUGACUCACUGUCUCAAAUGCUUCCAUACCACGAACAACACGCAAAAUGCUGGAGGAGACUCUUCAUCAGGACUGGAAUCAGAAUCAGGUUUAAUAUCACUGAUAUUUGUUGUGAAAUUUGUUACUUUGCAGCAGCAGUACAUUGCUAUACAUAAUAUCAAAAAACUAUAUAUUACAAUACGAAGUAUUGUAUAUAAAUUAAAUUCAAUAAGUAGAACAAAAAGAAGAUAAGCAAGAGGGAAGAAUUCCUCUUUGGUGUAGCAUCCUCUAACAAUACACAAAGACUGCAGCGAAGUGUUAAGUCAGCAAGAAUAGGUUCCUGGUCGCAUUUGAAUUCUUUCCCCUUCCUUUCCAGUCCCGAUAAAGGGUCUCAGCCCAAAACGUGAAUAUUUUUUCAUUUGCGUAGACGCUGCCUGACCUGCUGAGUUCCUCCUGCAUUUUGUGUGUGUUGCUCUGGAUUUCCAGCAUUGGCAGAAUCUCUUGUGUUGAUGAUAUCCAACACUACUAUGCUCCAUUGGAGAGCUGAUGACCUGUACAUUUGAGUUCUUGGUUUAAUGAGUGCUUGGUGUAUUUCCAGGUGCGAUUUAGUAGAGUGCCGGGGUUUUAAGAUGCACCACUCUUUGUGGUGAUGAGUCACAAGAGGAACUUCAGUUUCUGAGCCUAAUGUUAACUAUCAGGAUUUCAAGUUCAACUUAUCAUUCAACCGUACACAUGUAUACUGCCAAACAAAACGACGUUCCUCUAGACCAAGGUUCUCAACACGUAAAGUAAUGUUACCACAAAUAAAAUUAACAAAUAAUAAGGCACAUUUAUGACAUGAUUUAAAAAGUAAACUGUAUAACACUACUGAGCUUCAUACAUGCUGAGACCUGGCUGUCCGCAGAGAGUUCAGUAGUCUUAUGGCCUGGGGGAAGAAGCUGCAUCCUAACCUAACAGACCCUGUCCUAAUGCUACAGUACAUCCUGCCUGAUGGUAGGGGGUCAAGGAGAUUGUUGGACGGAUGGGAGGGAUCAUUAACAAUUCUGAAGAUCCUGUGUAUGCAGCGACCCUGAUAAAUAUCUCUGAUGGGUGAGGAGAGCUCCUGAUGGUUCAUUCGUAUCCCACCUCCUGUUCACUCUGAAGAGUCUAGAUGGACAAAUUAUUGACAAUGCUGAGAGCCCUGUAUAUGCUACACUCCCGAUAAAUAUCUCUAAUGGGUGGAAGAGAGACCUUGAUGAUGCUCCCAGCAGUCCUCGUAUGUUUCGAUGGACGAAUCAUUGAUAAUGCUGAGAGCCCUGUGUAUGCUACACUCCUGAUAAAUAUCUCUAAUGGGUGGAAGAGAGACUUUGAUGAUGCUUCCAGCAGUCCUCGUAUGUUUCGAUGUUGGCUACCAUUGUUGAAUGAUCAUACAGAUGUUGUUAAUGACUCAUUCAAUAGAUAGAUUCAGAAAGAGGUGUUCUUGCUCACACUUGUCUUCACAUCUUUUAUCCUGCUGUUCACAGAUACAGCCGCUGUGAGUUCAGCUGGACAAGAUUUCUCGUGAAGCUGCACUGUUACUGGUCCUCUCUGGAUAGGUCGCCUUUACUGACAUUCUGCAGGUUUCUUCUAAAACUCUGCAGUUCUCCUAGUAUAAUACCUUUAUUGCCCCAGAAAUUACAGGAGGCCUUUCAAUCAACACCAAGACGACAGACAGCAUGGUUAUCUCCAGAAAGACAACCAUCCAACAAUGUGUGAUCAAGUUUGGAAAUACAAACAUCAAACAAGUCAACAAAUUUGGAUAUCUUGGCAGCCAAAUAACAAGUGAUGGCAGGUAUAUCAAAUAUAGAAUAGCAAUGAAGAAAGAAGCUUUCCAGAAAAUGAAGACCAUAUUAACAGACAAAAAGAUGAGCACGUACACUAAAAACAGAAUACUGCAGUGCUACAUUUAUUCCAUCCUGACUUAUGGAAGUGAAUGCUGGACCAUUUCCCCAGCAAUGGAAAAGAGAGUAGAAGCAGCUGAAUUAUGGUUCUUCAGGAGAAUGUUAAAAAUAUCACGGACCACACACACAUCAGAUGAAGAAGUUCUCUGAAGAGCCCAAGCAGUUAGAUCACUCAUACCAACAAGAAGAGAAAGGCAACUCAGAUUCCUAGGACACAUCAUGCGGAAUGAUGAACUAGAAAAACCCACACUCUCUGGAAAGAUUGAGGGGAGCAAACCUCGAGGAAGACCUCGUCUUAUGUACAUCAAAAGCCCAGCCAGGGGGCUACACAUCGAGGAAAUGGAAGUCAUCCACAGAACAAGAGAUAGAUCUGUAUGGAAAACCAUGGUCACCAACGU